AAAAAAAAAAAAACAAUA
rnacentral:snRNA from 1 species